rnacentral:lncRNA from 1 species
UUGUAUCUUUUUGGUUUGCGUUUUUUUAUUUUUUACUUUUCUAUUAUAUAUAUAUAUAUAUUACGUUUAUAUUUAAAUAGAAAAUAUAAUUUUCAUGAGUUUACUUUCAUGUUGAAAAAGGUUUUUUCUUUUUCUUUUCUUAUUGAGAUCAAGUUCGUCUAAUUCUAUAUUUUUUAACUUUGAUUUUUUUAACCAUAUCUUUUCUAUUUCUUUUUGACUUUUUUUAAUAGAUCUUUU